AACGAACGCUGGCGGCAGGCUUAACACAUGCAAGUCGAGCGCCCCGCAAGGGGAGCGGCAGACGGGUGAGUAACGCGUGGGAAUCUACCCAUCUCUACGGAAUAACGCAUGGAAACGUGUGCUAAUACCGUAUACGUCCUUCGGGAGAAAGAUUUAUCGGAGAUGGAUGAGCCCGCGUUGGAUUAGCUAGUUGGUGGGGUAAAGGCCUACCAAGGCGACGAUCCAUAGCUGGUCUGAGAGGAUGAUCAGCCACACUGGGACUGAGACGCGGCCCAGACUCCUACGGGAGGCGGCAGUGGGGAAUAUUGGACAAUGGGCGCAAGCCUGAUCCAGCCAUGCCGCGUGAGUGAUGAAGGCCCUAGGGUUGUAAAGCUCUUUCACCGGUGAAGAUAAUGACGGUAACCGGAGAAGAAGCCCCGGCUAACUUCGUGCCAGCAGCCGCCGUAACAC
rnacentral:rRNA from 1 species